ACAUGGAAGAUGGGUGCACCAGAAGCGCCCCGGUUUUGAUCUUAACUCGUUGAGAUUAGAAUCGGGGCACUAAGGUGAAACCAUUGACUGGGUCG
rnacentral:rRNA from 1 species